CCCAACUAUCCCUAUUAAUCAUUACGUCAAUCCUAGAAACCAACAAAAUAGGAUCAAACGUCCUAUUUCAUUAUUCCAUGCUAAUGUAUUCAAGCGUUAGCCUGCUUUAAACACUCUAAUUUUUUCAAAGUAACAGUCCUGAUUUCCCGCCACACCAAAUUAAUGACAUGACGGUUCGUCAGAAGGGAGGAAUCAGAAACACCAGUACAUACCAGAGGCACGACCAGCGCACUGAUCCCGAAAUUCAACUACGAGCUUUUUAACUGCAACAACUUUAAUAUACGCUAUUGGAGCUGGAAUUACCGCGGCUGCUGGCACCAGACUUGCCCUCCAA
rnacentral:misc_RNA from 1 species